rnacentral:rRNA from 1 species
CCUACGGGAGGCAGCAGUGGGGAAUCUUGCGCAAUGGGCGAAAGCCUGACGCAGCAACGCCGCGUGCGGGAUGACGGCCUUCGGGUUGUAAACCGCUUUCAGUGGGGACGAACCAAGACGGUACCCACAGAAGAAGCCCCGGCCAACUACGUGCCAGCAGCCGCGGUAACACGUAGGGGGCGAGCGUUGUCCGGAUUUAUUGGGCGUAAAGAGCUCGUAGGCGGUUCGAUAAGUCGGGUGUGAAACCUCCAGGCUCAACCUGGAGACGCCACCCGAUACUGUCGUGACUAGAGUCCAGUAGGGGAGCGUGGAAUUCCUGGUGUAGCGGUGAAAUGCGCAGAUAUCAGGAGGAACACCAGUGGCGAAGGCGGCGCUCUGGGCUGGAACUGACGCUGAGGAGCGAAAGCGUGGGGAGCGAACAGGAUUAGAUACCCUGGUAGUCCACGCCGUAAACGUUGGGUACUAGGUGUGGGGUCUUAUCAACGGAUUCCGUGCCGCAGCUAACGCAUUAAGUACCCCGCCUGGGGAGUACGGCCGCAAGGGCUAAAACGUCAAAAGUAGUAGUACGGACCGUGAGACGACGCGACGACGACGACGACGGAGGGAGGAG